AUACAGAGGGUGCGAGCGUUAAUCGGAAUUACUGGGCGUAAAGCGCGCGUAGGCGGCUUAUUAAGUCAGAUGUGAAAUCCCAGGGCUCAACCUUGGAACUGCAUCUGAUACUGGUAAGCUAGAGUUUAGGAGAGGGAAGUAGAAUUUCAGGUGUAGCGGUGAAAUGCAUAGAGAUCUGAAGGAAUACCAGUGGCGAAGGCGACUUCCUGGCCUAAAACUGACGCUGAGGUGCGAAAGCGUGGGUAGCAAACGGGAUUAGAAACCCCAGUAGUCC
rnacentral:rRNA from 1 species